UGGGUGCUAAGGUCCAAGUCCGAGAGGGAAAGAACCCAGACCUUCAGCUAAGGUCCCAAAGUGUAUACUAAGUUGAACUAAGGAGGUCCAGUUGCAUAGACAGCCAGGAUGUUGGCUUGGAAGCAGCCAUUCAUUUAAAGAGUGCGUAACAGCUCACUGGUCGAGCGACAGGGCAUCGAUGAUGAUCGGGCAUUAAGUAUAUCACCGAAGCUAAGGAUUGUACGUAAGUACACUGGUAGGGGAGCAUUCUAUUCUGCGAUGAAGGUGCCUGGUAAUGGGCAUUGGAGCGUAUAGAAAAGCAAAUGUAGGCAUAAGUAACGAUAAGGCGGGUGAGAAACCCGCCCACCGAUAGACUAAGGUUUCCUGAUCAACGCUAAUCGGAUCAGGGUUAGUCGGGACCUAAGGCGAACCCGAAAGGGGUAGUCGAUGGACAAUUGGUUAAUAUUCCAAUACUACCGUAUUGAGUGAUGGGGUGACGGAGUAGUGAAAGAUCCGCGGACUGACGGAAUAGUCCGUUGAAGGGUGUAGUUAUAGGCAGUGUAGGCAAAUCCGCACAGCUUGAUGAACCUGAUAGUACCACAAUGCUUCGGCAGCGUGGAUAGUGAUCCUAAUCAGACUUCCAAGAAAAACCUCUAAACAUAUUGAUAUGGUACCCGUACCGCAAACCGACACAGGUAGUCAAGGAGAGAAUCCUGAGGUGCUCGAGUGAUCCGUGGCUAAGGAACUAGGCAAAAUGGCCCUGUAACUUCGGGAGAAGGGGCGCUUCCUCAUGCUUGCAUGAGAAGCCGCAGUGAAUAGGCCCAGGCGACUGUUUAGCAAAAACACAUGGCUUUGCGAAAUCGAAAGAUAAAGUAUAAGGCCUGACACCUGCCCGGUGCUGGAAGGUUAAGGGGGGAUGUUAUCCGCAAGGAGAAGCAUUGAACUGAAGCCCCAGUAAACGGCGGCCGUAACUAUAACGGUCCUAAGGUAGCGAAAUUCCUUGUCGGGUAAGUUCCGACCUGCACGAAUGGUGUAACGAUCUGGGCACUGUCUCAGCCACGAGCUCGGUGAAAUUGUAGUAGCGGUGAAGAUGCCGCUUACCCGCAACGGGACGAAAAGACCCCAUGAACCUUUACUAUAGCUUCACAUUGGUAUUGGGUAAAUGAUGUGUAGGAUAGGCGGGAGACUUUGAAGACGUGUCGCUAGGCAUGUUGGAGUCGUUGGUGAAAUACCGCCCUUUAUUUAUCUGGUGCCUAAUCCGCGAAUGCGGAGACAGUGUGUGGUGGGUAGUUUGACUGGGGUGGUCGCCUCCAAAAGAGUAA
rnacentral:rRNA from 1 species